GCCCCCAUAGCUCAGUCGGUCAAGAGCAGUCGACUCAUAAUCGAUUGGUCACAGGUUCAAGUCCUGUUGGGGGCACCA
rnacentral:tRNA from 1 species